GUGAUCUGCCCUGCACUUCGGGAUAAGCCCGGGANCCUGGGUCUAAUACCGGAUAGUACUGCGCGGUGCAUGCCGUGUGGUGGAAAGAUUUAUCGGUGCAGGAUGGGCCCGCGGCCUAUCAGCUUGUUGGUGGGGUAAUGGCCUACCAAGGCGACGACGGGUAGCCGGCCUGAGAGGGCGACCGGCCACACUGGGACUGAGACACGGCCCAGACUCCUACGGGAGGCAGCAGUGGGGAAUAUUGCACAAUGGGCGCAAGCCUGAUGCAGCGACGCCGCGUGAGGGAUGACGGCCUUCGGGUUGUAAACCUCUUUCAGCAGGGACGAAGCGCAAGUGACGGUACCUGCAGAAGAAGCACCGGCCAACUACGUGCCAGCAGCCGCGGUAAUACGUAGGGUGCAAGCGUUGUCCGGAAUUACUGGGCGUAAAGAGCUCGUAGGCGGUUUGUCGCGUCGUCUGUGAAAACCAGCAGCUCAACUGUUGGCUUGCAGGCGAUACGGGCAGACUUGAGUAUUUCAGGGGAGACUGGAAUUCCUGGUGUAGCGGUGAAAUGCGCAGAUAUCAGGAGGAACACCGGUGGCGAAGGCGGGUCUCUGGGAAAUAACUGACGCUGA
rnacentral:rRNA from 1 species